UACGUAGGGGGCAAGCGUUGUCCGGAUUUAUUGGGCGUAAAGAGCGUGUAGGCGGCCUUACAGGUCAGCUGUGAAAACUCGAGGCUCAACCUCGAGACGCCGGUGGAAACCAUCAGACUAGAGUCCGGAAGAGGAGAGUGGAAUUCCUGGUGUAGCGGUGAAAUGCGCAGAUAUCAGGAAGAACACCCGUGGCUAAGGCGGCUCUCUAGUACGGUACUGACGCUGAGACGCGAAAGCGUGGGGAGCGAACAGG
rnacentral:rRNA from 1 species